rnacentral:rRNA from 1 species
ACGGGUGAGUAACACGUAGGUAAUCUACCUUUGGAUGGGGAAUAACAACCGGAAACGGUUGCUAAUACCGCAUAAUGCAGCGGCACCUAAUGGUGACAGUUGUUAAAGCGGGGGAUCGAAAGACCUCGCGUCUGAGGAGGAGCCUGCGGCGGAUUAGCUAGUUGGUAAGGUAACGGCUUACCAAGGCAACGAUCCGUAGCCGGCCUGAGAGGGCGGUCGGCCACACUGACACUGACAUACGGGUCAGACUCCUACGGGAGGCAGCAGUCGGGAAUUUUGGGCAAUGGGCGAAAGCCUGACCCAGCAACGCCGCGUGAAGGAUGAAAUCCUUCGGGAUGUAAACUUCGCAAGAACGGGAAGAAUAAGUCUGCGCAAAUAUCGCAGGCGAUGACGGUACCGUUUGUAAGCUCCGGCUAACUCCGUGCCAGCAGCCGCGGUAAUACGGGGGGAGCAAGCGUUGUUCGGAUUUACUGGGCGUAAAGGGCGCGUAGGCGGCCACUGCAAGUCAAUUGUGAAAUCUCCGGGCUUAACUCGGAAAGGUCAACUGAUACUGCAAGGGCUAGAAGUUCUGAGGGGCUCGACUAUG